rnacentral:rRNA from 1 species
UACGGAGGGUGCAAGCAUUAAUCGGAUUUAUUGGGCGUAAAGGGCGCGUAGGCUGGUAGAUAAGUCAGAUGUGAAAUCCUGGGGCUCACCCCCAGAACAGCAUUUGAAACUGUGUACCUAGAGGGUAGUCGGAGAAAAUGGAAUUCCACAAGUAGCGGUGAAAUGCGUAGAUAUGUGGAAGAACACCGGUGGCGAAAGCGAUUUUCUAGAUUAUUCCUGACGCUGAGGCGCGAAAGCUAGGGGAGCAAACAGG